UGCUCUUGGAAUUUCCUUAUCUCUCACUACCCCCACCUUCCAAGGCCAUGCUUCAGCUGCACCUGGCGGCUCUGAGCAAGUCUUAUACAAUAAACCCCUUCUUCUAAAACCCAACUUCAGAGAUCUCUCGUCUACAUUCAUCUACACCGUCCUGGAGUCCUCAGCAGCAGCAAGAGGCAUUUUUCUACAGGGAUCCACUUCAAGGACUCUGGGAUGUGGCUGCAGUAUAUGAGGAGAAAUACAACCCAAGCAGGCUGGCUUUCCUAACAUGAGAAGGAAGCACAAGUCAUCACCAGCAGUCCUCCUGUAAACGGUGAGAUUUGAAGGAGGACCCAUUCAAGCAACAAACCACCUCUCCUGGGCAAAGUUCCUGCUUUCCAGAGCCGGCAGAUGCGGGCAGUGGAUGUGACACAAAGCACUGGGGUUUUGGAACGUGCCGGGGAGAGCAAGGCCUGAGAGCCAAGUGCUGCCUCCAUCCUCAGCAUCGCCGCCUCUCCCCACGGUGCUCACAGGCAGCCCCGACGCUCUGCACUGCCCUGACCCCUCUGCAAGUUUGCAUUUUGCACUCCCAGCGAUGCCCAUGCAGUAAAGGCACAGCGACAAGCAGCACAGUCUGCUUUUACGAUCAGGAUGUGCCAACCACUGCUUUAAGAGAUACUGCUGGUGCUUAAUUUAAAACAAGGAGAUCUUGUCUUGUGUCCCGCUGCUACACAAAGAAGUGCUCUCAACUAUGCGCUAUACACAGUGCCGUUUAAUUUCUUAGGCAUGUGCUACUUUAAAUAAACGGAACAAAAUUCCAAAAGUAAAUCUGCAAUGCUUUCAACCUGAAAGAAAUCUUACUUACCUGAUGGAGAUAUCUUUCACAUGGGCUGAAGCUCGAAACCUUUGGUGGAAAUUUAUGAAGUAUAAAUAAUCUUAUGAAAAUGUGUUUUGUUCCAUGCUAGCUGGUUUUUACAAGAGUGUACCCCCUUGAAAGGUGGAUGGAUUGUUUGUAAAUGAGUGAGUCAACAUGACUGUGAGAGAGAUGAUUAUUCUGGUGACAGAGUGUGGUAAAACAUGGGAGGUCAAGGGAAGCAUGAGCUUUGGAAAGACUCCCUUUCAGUCCAAGUAGCUUAGAUUGAAUCAAAACUACCUGCCCUUUAGGUGCAUUUUCAGUACGUGGGGCUUGAUUCUGAUGAAGUAAAUAAGUAUGAGGAUGACGUAAUCCAGCACUUUGUACAGGAGCAAUUACCUGCCAGAAUUUUGAACCUGACUGAAUUUCCACUGGAGUUACACUGAUUCCAUUGACUUUAUAAUUGAUUUCAACUUGACUCAAAUCAAGGCAUUCAUUACUGCCUUGAGAUAUUAUUAAGUUGCUGUAUAAGUUUCUUAAAAGUUAAGAAACUUAAGGAAUAUCAUCUGAGCACCACAGAGCCAGGCUGCUCUUUUUUCUUGUUUAGAUACAUAUCUAGUGUUUUUAAAAAACUUCACUGCUUGCCUUAUUAAUGUCUUCAGGCAAGGAAUAUAAUGCAUUAAGAUGGGUUGAGUUUAAUUUGUUGAUUUGUUUGAAUGUCCAUAUCAGUACUGGACUAGGGUAAAAAUGCCAUACACACAGCUGUGUGCUCCAGCAUCUAUAUUAAAUCACAGUUUCUUAUUAUUAGUCAGUAGCUCAUGUAAAUGUCAAAACUUUACAGCUGUCACGGUCAACUUACACGCAGAAACUUCUGGCUGAGAUUUUGUAGUUCAGUAUUGUUUGCCUGAAAUUGAAAGAAAUACAUGUAAUCUCAAUUUAAAGAUCAAAUUCCUGGAUGCCCUCUGUUUUGUAGCUCAUGAGACAGCUUCUAGUAACAUUUUUCCCACAUAAAUGUUCUUGAUAAAGACAGUAAGAUUAAAGUGCAGAAGCUUAAAUGAGAACACUCCUCCAGCUGUCCAAAUAUGCAUCAUAUUUUCAGUAGUAAUAAAUCCAUGUUUACCAACAUAUACAAACGUUUUCUAAAACACUUCACACGCAUAGUUCUCACUAAAGAAAACAGAACUUGUUCUGAGACACUUUAGAGACAACGUCGAAGGUAUUUGUCUCUACAAGCUCCUGUAAUAAUCCAGUAAUCAUUCCUCAAGGCUUUCUAGCUCUGCUGCCAUAUGGUUUUCUGUGGGGAGAAUGUUAGAGUUGAAUUCAUUUUGUUCACGGGAGCAUCCUUCACUGGAACAGACAAGCAUGUAUUGUCAAUAAUCAUGAUGGUUCUGCUCCAUUCCCCUUGGUGCACGGAGCUGACACCUCUGCUGAGUCACUCACUGUGACAAGGCUUCCUUCACAUUAUUCACUUCUUUACAGUUUGCGCUGCAUUUUUAUUCUUCCCAAUUGACGUCUGCAUCAUCAUCUCCUCUAAUCACCUUAGCUCUGUGAGAUCCCCCAUGAAUUCCUUCAAACUCCUCUGAGCAUUCAUAAAGCAAAUCACUAUAUAUGAGUGGGAGAUGACUCUGCCACUCUCACCCUUGCAGCACAUGGCAGCAAUUAUGUCACUCUAAACUGCUGGUGUAAUCGUGAAUACUUAAUGCAGAAAGUUCUGAAAAGGCACGUGGACAAGGGCUUGCACUUGAGCAGAAGGAAUUAAAAGGAGCAAAACUAUUGCAGGAGGGAGUGAGUCCAUGGGAGAGGAGACAGAUGUAUCAAAGCAAGGGAUACAUCAAAGUAUUUAUGAGCGUUUGUCUGGGAUGAGGGAAUUCAGCUGUGAUAAAAGGGACUGCUCCUGAAAAGCAGCAACAGGUGGGCUGCUUACACAGAUCAAACUCAUGGAAAGUCACUGGAUGUCAUUUCUUCUUGCAGAAAUCCAGCUGAGGGAGUACGGUGCUCCAUCUGGCAGAAAAGGAGUCACAGCUACAGAGGGGAAAUUUUAACUGUGGCCAAGGCAUACUUCUAAACAUAAAAAGCCUUCCAUGAGAAAGAUGAAAUUUAAUCUCUCUCUUCUCUUUUCUCUUUCACAUUUAUUUUUUCCUUAUUUUUUCUCAUGGGAGUGAUUUUCUUCCUCAGUACUGGCUGGUCAGGAAACAGUGAAAUAUCUAGAGCAUUUCAAUUUUAUCUCUAGGGUUCAUGCCAUUGCAAAAGGCAUUUUACUACUGUGAUGUGUAACUUUAUUUUGUCAUUUGUUCAGCUCUAAUUGUGAUGUGUAUCACAUUAAAUUUUUAAAUUUUCUCUUUUUAAUUCUUUUUUUUUUUUUUUACAUGCCUGAGGUGAACUAAAUGCUCUCUACUUUUCAUUUCUGCUGUGCAGUAGAAUAAGAAUUGGAGGACAUCACAUCCUCUCUAAGAUGUCUUGAUCACGCCUUUUUUUUUUUCUUUGACAUAUUCUGAGUGUGCCCUUUCUUUUGUCAUAUGCAGUGCUUUCUUGCAGCAACUUUUAACAAUUGUGAUUGAUUUCUUGGCUUUCCUUUUAACCACAGUCUAAAACGUCUUUAUUUUUUCAGCUGCCACCAUACAUCAGCUUCUGUAUCUUGACAUUUUCUCUAACGAUUUUUUAAAUGAUUCUCAGGAAUCCAUGGUUUGAUAAUUCUUCUCAAUGUAUCUUUAUAUACUGUGUUUUGGCUGUAUGUAAUAAUAAAGCAUCG